UGGGGAAUAUUGGACAAUGGGCGAAAGCCUGAUCCAGCCAUGCCGCGUGUGUGAAGAAGGUCUUCGGAUUGUAAAGCACUUUAAGUUGGGAGGAAGGGCAGUAAGCGAAUACCUUGCUGUUUUGACGUUACCGACAGAAUAAGCACCGGCUAACUCUGUGCCAGCAGCCGCGGUAAUACAGAGGGUGCAAGCGUUAAUCGGAAUUAUUGGGCGUAAAGGGCGCGUAGGCGGCCAGUCAAGUGGAAGGUGAAAUCCCUCGGCUUAACCGAGGAACUGCCUUCCAGACUGUUUGGCUUGAGACCAGGAGAGGUGAGUGGAAUUCCCAGUGUAGCGGUGAAAUGCGUAGAUAUUGGGAGGAACACCAGUGGCGAAGGCGGCUCACUGGACUGGUACUGACGCUGAGGCGCGAAAGCGUGGGGAGCAAA
rnacentral:rRNA from 1 species